AGAACGAACGCUGGCGGCAUGCCUAAUACAUGCAAGUCGAACGAACACUUCGGUGUUAGUGGCGCACGGGUGCGUAACGCGUGGGAAUCUGCCCUUGGGUUCGGAAUAACAGUUGGAAACGACUGCUAAUACCGGAUGAUAUCGAAAGAUCAAAGAUUUAUCGCCCAGGGAUGAGCCCGCGUAGGAUUAGCUAGUUGGUGAGGUAAAGGCUCACCAAGGCGACGAUCCUUAGCUGGUCUGAGAGGAUGAUCAGCCACACUGGGACUGAGACACGGCCCAGACUCCUACGGGAGGCAGCAGUAGGGAAUAUUGGACAAUGGGCGCAAGCCUGAUCCAGCAAUGCCGCGUGACGUGAUGAAGGCCUUAGGGUAGUAAGCUCUUUUACCCGAGAUGAUAA
rnacentral:rRNA from 1 species